GGCUGCGGGCGCUUCCCACGGAGGUGCCCCGGCAGGUCUCGCGAGUGGGGCGCCCGAUGCGCUGGCGGGUCAGACCCGCCGGGAGCCCUCGGCGGGUCUCUCGGGGGCCGAGCAGCUGCCCCGGGAUCGGGCCCCGCCCGAGCCGCCUCCGCGCGGCGAAGUUUGAGCCAAAGAAAAGUUCUGCGGGAGGCGCGUCCCGAGCGCGGGGGCCCGCCCUGGGGUUAAACCCCCGCCAAGUGCCACCCGCCCCCGCGCGGGGACGCCAGGGGAUCGCUCCCGGCGAGAAAGCGCCGUCUGCACGGGCGCUUUUCAGCCCUAAAACGUUUGUCGCGGGGAGGGGGAGGGGGAGGGGGGCGUGUUUCUUCACCCCCCUCCCCCCCCCCCCGAGGGACUCAAGCUGUAGCGCUGGAAGCGGCCCUGUAGCCGCAGCCUGCGCAUCUCGUGCGUUCAGCGCUUUUCAUCCCCCCGGGGCUCGGGUGAGGCUCCCGCCUCUCCCGCCGCGCGGUGCUCGCCCUGCCCUGCCCCUGCCCUGCCCCUGCCGUCAGUCUGUUCCGUCCCCCUCGGGCGGCGCAGCCGGAUGCUCAGUCCCUGCACCUCGCCUGCCUCCAGCCCGGCGCGCUCCCUGCAAGUGCACUGGGCUGCCGCUGCCGCUGCCGCUGCUCUCCCCCCGGUGCUGACAACCGCCCAGUAUCUAAGGGUUAUAACUAGUGCUGUCAAUAACUGUCAAAGGGGGGCAGUGGCUCAUGUGAAGAGAAGGGCAUGUGGGGUUGGAAUUGCCCGGGUGAAACGCAAGUGUUGAAGAUACUAGGUUGACUCUGAAAAAAAUGUCUUGGUUCAGGUGUCGUUCCAGUGCCGAGUCUGAGCUUGUCCCGCUCAGGGCACCAGGUGCUUGGAACUCUUUUUGUUUUUUCUGCCUGACAAAAUGACACCUGUAUCUCCUGCUCUACCAAACAAUUUCCCUUUUCGCUUUGUUGCAUAGCAGUUAGGUACCAUGUUUUAUAAAAGGGUGGUAAAUUUAUUAUAAAUUAAAUGGGAAAAAAGAGCAGCUUGGCUGGUCAGGAGGGGUAAGGUAUGCAUCCCUGUGGCACAAGUGGUACCCGUUUUGGAUUUCACCCUUCAGACUACUAGAGAAAAUGUGCAUUUUGAUCCUAUAACGGGGACAGCCAGUUAGUACCUGAGUGCACCCUUUGGACGGUUUACAAAGCAGUUUAGUUUUCAAGAAAGUCAGUUAUUUGCAAUUCCAGGACCAAGCAUCUGCAGAUGCAAAGAUCACAGGGCCUCCUGUCCCACAUUCCUGCAGAUCCCUCAAUAGAAUCAUAAGUUAAAUGAAAGGGCUACUGCCAUUUACAUCACUUUUCUUUUUUUUUUUUUUAGAGGUGGAGAAGUGACUGUAGCUCUCAAAGAGAAAAGAUUGAAAUGAGGAUGCUCUGUGGCUAGGCAAUGCCUCUUGAGAUGCUGAUAGGGAGAAAAUCCACAUUGGGGUGUUUGGACAAAUACAGCAUCAGGACCGAAAUAUAUUUUCACUUUGAAAUUGGAUUUUUUUUUUGGAAAACAUUAUAAAUAGUUAUUCCAGUGUUUAAAAUAAUUUCAAUAAUUUAGAAAAGUUCCAAGGCUAACAAAGGAGAAAUAGUGAAGUGUUAGUUGUGUGACCAUGUCCUGGGCUGUCUCAGCAGGUGAUAAGGGGGUAUCAGUUACAUGAUUUAGAGGCUGGGACUGCUGGUUGACCAAUGUCAAUGACAUCCCUAAGUAUAGUAGGUUGGUCAGAAAGAAGGAUAUGUUCCUCCCUCCCCCUCCGAGACAUAGUCACUCACACCAGCUCUUUCUGUCAGAGUGAGUUUGAAUGAAGUAUCAAGAAAAUCUUAGAACAUACUUGUCUCCAGGAAAUAGUUUUCAUGAGAUCUACAAUACGUUGGAUUCUAAUAUCCCAUCAGUAACAGCACCUUUUCUCAAAGACUCUUAUAGCACUCUACAGACAUCAGUUGAUUAAGUGUAACAACCCCCAUGUAAAUUAUAUGGAGAAGUCACAGAGACAAGAAAAAGACAUUCCCCCUCCCCCAUAAUCCAGACAGAGCCCCUGUAAUUGAUUAAAGGAAAAGAGCAGAGGACGCAUAAAGUCCAUUGGGACUUCUCUAAGCCCAUCUAAUUCUCCUUGGAGGGACUUAAAUAUUAAAGUGAUGGGUGCUACAGAAGAUCCUAAAUUAGGUGAAGAUACUUGGCCAGUCGUACACAGCAAAUCAUUGGAGGAGCUGGGGACAGAAUUUCUGCAUCGAAGACCAUAGCUGUACCUCUUGGCGUCAUUGUUUUGGGUGUUCCCUCCAACCCAACUCAACUCAACAUAAACCUCAGUCUGGUCUUGAUUUGGACAUGCAGCAGAAAUGUAAUAAUUCAGACUAAUAACUCAGAGAGCUGUUUGUUGAAUUACUUAUUUUGCAAAUUAAUAACUUAAUGAAGAAAUGGAUAAAAUAUCAAGUAUACUCUAUCAUACAGUCUGCUUUGUUCACUUAUUUAAACAAUGGUGUUGUUUUCAUUAUCUGUAAUAAUUUAAUAUUAUAGGAAAUAUUCUGUUGUGUAUUUUGUAUAAGUAAGAAAGUCUUAUGAGACCUCCGUAUAACACUGUCUUUGCUAUUAAAUUUUUGAUGAAAA